GGAUUUUGAGUUGUGGAAUUUUCCACUCAUUUAUCCUUUCAUUUUCCAAUUUCUUUGCCUUCAAGUGUCCACUGGCUCCUCUCAGUCACAGCUGUACAAAUCACAGGACUCUCACCGGCAUGAGACAUAUAUAUUAUUCAUCUAUCUAGUUUCAUCUAAAGGAAAUCCAAUAAAGACAAAAUUUUACUUUCCAGUGAAAUAUCCAAAGCUGCUUUUUCCCCACAAGAAACUGGGCCGAAAACUCCAUCCAUGAUCUAUAAUACCACUUUCUUGGCAACAUGUCUCAUUCCCCACUAUAUCUCCAUGCACAGCACUUAGUAAAAUCUCCGUAAAUAACUGUGGAAUGAAUGAAUGAAUCUACGUGGAAAUCUAUGGAUCCUUAAGUAUGAAGCAUGCUGUUCUAGUAAGAUGGAACACUCUGACUUGGAAACAUAAUUCCAUGCAGUUGAGUUGCCCUAACCUGGAUGUUUCACUGAGGUAAGCCAAUUAACCUCUCUGGCCCCCAUUGUCCUUCUCACUAGAACAGAGCCAACAUUUGCCACUCUGUUGCUGAAGACGGAAGCAGCAAAGAAUAAGCAAGAUGAGAUCUGAUGAGUGCCUGAAGUUUUAUAAGAGGAAGACACUCUACUUAACUGUUCAACCCACUGUAAAGAUGACGGACAUAGGCCAAACGGCUUAAUGAGAAUCUCCAAAGUCUCAUCAAAUCACUGGGCUACAAAUCCCCAAAUAGUUCUGAAACAAUAGUCUAUCUAAAUUUCCAUUAAGCUACGGUGUUAAUGUAAACCCCAGGAUGACAGCACCAUGUGGCAGUUCCUGAAAUGUUGAAAAACAAGGCCACUCCCCAGAUGGAUUAAUGAUCACAAAAAGAAAUCAGAUGCCCUUGGCCAGAGUUGGUCAACAUUUCAGAUCCUGGCUCCUGGCUUCUGUCUCUCAUGGAGACGACCAAUCAAUGCCCCUCUGAGACAUGGGAGCCCACUGCUGAAGCAUUCCCCUAGAAGGUUACUUCCAGAUCUUUUUGUGUUAUAGCCAACCAAAUUGAAGAAAAUAACUAGUCAUAAGCCUUUCUUUAGGUCCCAGAAAUGGAGGCCAGGUUUCUAAGCCUAGGAUAAUGGCUCAAUUCAGGACAACCCUGACUUAAGCAAAGUCACUGUGAACCACCCUUUACUCCAUAGUAUCUUCACUGCCCUUAUCAAUAGGAGAAAUUACCUUAUUCUUUUAUUCAUUAUUUUUCUUGUUGCUCACACUCUAGAACUCUGUUGUCCAGUACCAUAGCCACUAGCCAUAUGUGACUUUGUAAAUUUAAAACUUUUUAAUCAUAUAAGAUUGUAAAAUUCAGUUCCUCACUUACACUAGCCACAUUUUACUGGCCUAAAAACCACACAUGGCUAGUUGCUAACAUAUUAGACAGCAAAGAUCUAGAACAUUAUUGCAUUAUUGCAUUAUUGAAAAUCCUAAUGGACAGCCCAGUUCUAGAAGAAAAGUUAAACCCUAGGCCAUGUUUCAAUCAUGAAUUGAGAGGUUCAGUAGAUUAUAACCAGUGUAAGUGUCAGUGAAAUGGAAAAUAGCAAAACAUAUCAUAUUAAACAAAGAGUAAGAAUUCCUUAGGAAAAUUUGUUUAUAUGUAUGUAUGUCCCAGGUUGUAUUAUAAAUUAUAUUUAUUAUUUAUCACGGUUUAAAAAAAUUAAAAAGCUUAUGCAGAGUACCUAUAAUAUAGUAUGGGCUCAAAAUGCUUGUUGAAUCUAUCAAUAAAUGAAAUGUUUUAAAGA